AAGACCUUGCACUUUUGGAGCGGCCGAUGUCUGAUUAGCUAGUUGGUGGGGUAAUGGCCUACCAAAGCUUCGAUCAGUAGCUGGUCUGAGAGGACGGCCAGCCACACUGGGACUGAGACGCGGCCCAGACUCCUACGGGAGGCAGCAGUGGGGAAUUUUGGACAAUGGGCGCAAGCCUGAUCCAGCCAUGCCGCGUGAGUGAAGAAGGCCUUCGGGUUGUAAAGCUCUUUCAGUCGGGAAGAAAAGGUUGCGACUAAUAAUCGCAAUUCAUGACGGUACCGAAAGAAGAAGCACCGGCUAACUACGUGCCAGCAGCCGCGGUAAUACGUAGGGUGCGAGCGUUAAUCGGAAUUACUGGGCGUAAAGGGUGCGCAGGCGGUUUUGUAAGUCAGAUGUGAAAUCCCCGGGCUUAACCUGGGAACU
rnacentral:rRNA from 1 species